rnacentral:rRNA from 1 species
UCGCUUUGGGAGGAGCUCGCUUACUAUCAGCUUGUUGGUAGGGUAAUGGCCUACCAAGGCUAUGACGGUUAGGGGGUGUGAGAGCAUGACCCCCAGCAUUGGCACUGAAACACUGGCCAAACACCUACGGGUGGCUGCAGUCGAGAAUCUUCCACAAUGGGGGAAACCCUGAUGGAGCGAUGCUGCGUGCGGGAUGAAGGCCUUCGGGUUGUAAACCGCUUUUGUAGGGGACGAAAUUUUUGACGGUACCCUUUCGAAUAAGAGGUUGCUAACUCUGUGCCAGCAGCAGCGGUAAUACAGAGACCUCAAGCGUUAUCCGGAUUUACUGGGCGUAAAGCGUCUGUAGGGGGUUUAUUAAGUUCCAAGUAAAAUUUCAAGGCUCAACUUUGAAUUCGCUUGGAAAACUAAUAAACUGGAGUCUAGCAGAGGUGCAUGGAACUUGUGGUGUAGGAGUGAAAUCCGUUGAUAUCACAAGGAACACCAAAGGCGAAGGCAUUGCACUGGGCUAGCACUGACCCUGAGAGACGAAAGCGUGGGGAGCAAAGCGGAUUAGGAUACCCGUGUAGUCAUCGCCCUAAUCGAUGAAUGCUAAAUGUUCGGGGAUUCGACCCCUUGGUUGUUACAGCUAACGCGUUAAGCAUUCCGCAUGGGAAGUACGGCCGCAAGUCUAAAACUCAAAGGAAUAGACGGGGAUCCGCACAAGCGGUGGAGCGUCUGGUUUAAUUCGACAGUGAGCGUGGUACCUCACCAGGGUUUGACAUCCCUUGACAGCCUUGGAAACAAGGUUUCCUUCGGGCAAGGUGACAGGGUGCUGCAUGGUCGUCGUCAGUUCGUCCCGUGAGGUGUUCCGUUAAGUCGGGAAACGAACGAAACCCCUAUUGCAUGUUACAAUUUCUCAUGCAAGACUGCCCGGAUAUACUGGGAGGAAGGUGGGGAUGACGUCAGAUCUGCAUGGUCCUUAUACCCUGGGCGACACAGGCGCUACAAUGGCAGAGACAAAGGGUUGCAAAACCGCAAGGUGAAGCUAAUCCCAAAAACUUUGUCUAAGUUCGGAUUGAAGGCUGCAAUUCGCCUUCAUGAAGCUGGAAUCGCUAGUAAUCGUGAAUCAGCCACGUCACGGUGAAUAUGUUCCCGGAUCUUGUACUCACCGCCCGUCACACCAAGAGAGUUGUAGCUCCCGAAGCGUCCCGUUU